UACAGAGGGUGCGAGCGUUAAUCGGAAUUACUGGGCGUAAAGCGUGCGUAGACGGUUAUUUAAGUCGGAUGUGAAAGCCCCGGGCUCAACCUGGGAAUUGCAUUCGAGACUGAAUAGCUAGGGUGCGGUAGAGGGAAGCGGAAUUUCCGGUGUAGCGGUGAAAUGCGUAGAGAUUGGGAAGAACACCGGUGGCGAAAGCGCUCUGCUGGGCCUUAUCUGACACUCAGGGACGAAAGCUAGGGGAGCGAACGGG
rnacentral:rRNA from 1 species